UAAGUUGAUUACAAAGAAACUUGAAUGA
rnacentral:piRNA from 1 species